rnacentral:rRNA from 1 species
ACCGGCAGCUCAAGUGGUGGCCAUUAUUAUUGGGCCUAAAGCGUUCGUAGCCGGUUUGAUAAGUCUCUGGUGAAAUCCCGCAGCUUAACUGUGGGACUUGCUGGAGAUACUAUCAGACUUGAGGUCGGGAGAGGUUAGGGGUACUCCCAGGGUAGGGGUAAAAGCCUAUAAGCGUGGGAGGACCACCUGUGGCGAAGGCGCCUAACUGGAACAAACCUGAGGGUAAGUAACGAAAGCCAGGGGCGCGAUACG